AACGCUGGCGGCGCGCUUAACACAUGCAAGUCGAGCGAGAACCAUGGCUUCGGCCAUGGGGACAGCGGCGAACGGGUGAGUAACACGUGGGUAAUCAACCCUCGACACUGGGAUAGCCCGGGGAAACCCGGAUUAAUACCGGAUACCCCAUCUGGCCUUCGGGCCGGCUGGAAAAGGUAGCUUUGGCCUCCGGUCGAGGACGAGCCCGCGGCGGAUUAGCUUGUUGGCGGGGUAAAAGCCCACCAAGGCGACGAUCCGUAGCUGGUCUGAGAGGACGAUCAGCCACACUGGGACUGAGACACGGCCCAGACUCCUACGGGAGGCAGCAGUGGGGAAUCUUGCGCAGUGGGCGAAAGCCUGACGCAGCGACGCCGCGUGAGGGAAGAAGGCCUUCGGGUUGUAAACCUCUUUCAGGAGGGACGAAGCCACUCGGGUUAAUAGCCCAGAGGGUGACGGUACCUCCAGAAGAAGCCCCGGCUAACUACGUGCCAGCCGCCGCGGUAACAC
rnacentral:rRNA from 1 species